GUCUCGUUCGUCUAGUGGCCAAGGACAUCGGGCUUUCAUCCCGAAGAUCGCGGGUUCGACCCCCGCACGAGACG
rnacentral:tRNA from 1 species